rnacentral:tRNA from 1 species
GGGCGCAUAGCUCAGUUGGUCAGAGCGUCGGUCUUACAAACCGAAGGUCGCUGGUUCGAGUCCGGCUGCGCCCA